rnacentral:rRNA from 1 species
AACGAACGCUGGCGGCAGGCUUAAUACAUGCAAGUCGAACGCACCUUUCGGGGUGAGUGGCAGACGGGUGAGUAACGCGUGGGAAUCUACCCUUCUCUACGGGAUAGCUCCGGGAAACUGGAAUUAAUACCGUAUACGUCCUGAGGGAGAAAGAUUUAUCGGGGAAGGAUGAGCCCGCGUUGGAUUAGCUAGUUGGUGGGGUAAAGGCCUACCAAGGCGACGAUCCAUAGCUGGUCUAAGAGGAUGAUCCGCCACAUUGGGACUGAGACACGGCCCAAACUCCUACGGGAGGCAGCAGUGGGGAAUAUUGGACAAUGGGCGCAAGCCUGAUCCAGCCAUGCCGCGUGAGUGAUGAAGGCCCUAGGGUUGUAAAGCUCUUUCAGUGGGGACGAUAAUGACGGUACCCACAGAAGAAGCCCCGGCUAACUUCGUGCCAGCCGCCGCAGUAA